CAGACCUCUAAUCGGAAAAAACUACCCGCUGAGUUUAA
rnacentral:rRNA from 1 species